CUCCGGGGGCAAGAGGUUCGACUCGAGCGAAGCGAGAGAACGUUGCGUCAGCAACGGCCCGCAGGGCGAGCCACGCAGUGGCGAGUCAUCCUCUAUCACCGACCA
rnacentral:sRNA from 1 species